CCACAGAAAAACUGGAGCUUGUUACAGGAAGUUAAGAUGCAAAUCAUAUUUUGUUUCAAAUGAGCCCGAUGAAUGCAUAAUUUUCCACAAAGAAAUACUUUUGUGUCAGGAUCCUUCUGCCAAGAAUCGAAGUUUUGGGGCUGCAGCUGUUAGCAGUGUCUGAUUGUCCAUUUCAAACUGCAGGCAGUUCUGCUUUUCUAAGGAGGAUUUGGAGCAAAGACAGGAAGAGGACAGAGCUGUGCUCAUCAAUUGUCUUCCAGAAUAUUCUCUGUGAGCUCCGCCUAUGCUUCCCAGAUGAUCAUACUUAACCCUUAGAAUCUGUAGAGACUGAUCCCCAAAGGUGAAUCAAUAGCUAUUCCCAACAUACUGUUCACCCAUAAAGGGAUUUUUCCCCCUUUCCUCCAGCACUUCUCUGAGUAUUAAUUCCAUCUGCCAGUAGUCUUUUGAUUUCAAGUGGAAGAAACCCAAUUCAAAUGAAAUAAAUCACAAAGAAAGGCAGGAGGGGAAUUAUUUGUUCUUUUACCUGGAAAGUCCAAACAUGAUCUGCCUUCAGAUACCCUGGAUGCAGGUAGAGGGCUGGACAGGAGAAGAAAUUGGUCUCACACAAGAGAAAGAAUUAAUGUGCAAAACCACGGACCCUGCAUUUGUUAUCAUGAAUUUGCAAGGUACCACUUUUCAAGUUGUGUGAUUUUUCUCCAGAUGUAGGUGCAGAAAUGACUGAGUAAAGAAUUUGGACUAUUUUGGACGCAGCAGGGAUGAUAAAAAGAUAGAAUCAAGAAGUAUAAGGGAAAUGAGCAUUCAGAUGACCAUCCCUGAAACAGAUCUGCAUGGAGAAGGGAGCAAAGUAGAUCAGACAUGGCCCAGUGGACCAGCAGAGAAUGUUGCACUGGACAUCACUAUCGAGCAGAAGGUCAGGUGUUGUAAGAGGAAUGGGAACAAAAGUUCUGGAAGGAUAUGUGAUGAUGAACACUAAGAGAGGCCCUCCCACGCCACUCCGGGGCAGCAGGAAGUGUGUGGAGAGCCUCAUGCCCUUUCUGCGUUGCUGCCACCAAGCCAGCAUUCCUACGCUCUGGCUGUCACAGCAUGCCAGCACCCCCGAUAGAUGGAGAAUGCAAGCAGGAGUCACAUCUGCUAGUUCACAGCUCUCUCCUUGGCUCCUACAACAGUGCCUGGCGUCUGGCUGGCCCCCAGUAAGUAUUUGCUGAGUGAAUGACCAUGAGGUCUGCUUCGCCAAGGCCCCUGGGGUGCGACAGAGUAAUUCCCAGACCUGUCUUGGAGUCUGUAUUAGCCUGCCUGGGCUGCUAUAACAAAAAUUGAUAGACUACAUGGCUCAAACAAUAGAAAUUUAUUUUCCCACCGUUUUGGAGGCUAGGAAGCCCAAAGUCAAGGUCCAGCAGGCUCAAUUUCUGGUGAGGGGUCUUCCUGGGGCGAAGACAGUCACUGCUUGCUAUUUUCUCACAUGGCUUUUUCUCCGUUUGUGUACAUGUUGACAGAGGAAGCAAGUUCUUCAGGGUCUCUCUUUUUUUUUUUUAAGAUUUUAUUUAUUUAUUCAUGAGAGACACAGAGAGAGAGAGAGAGAGGCAAAGACACAGACAGAGGGAGAAGCAGGCUCCGUGCAGGAAGCCUGACGUGGGACUUGAUUCCGGGUCUCCAGGAUCACACCCUGGGCUGCAGGCGGCGCUAAACUGCUGCGCCACCGGGGCUGCCCUCCAGUGUCUCUUCUUAUGACAUGAAUCUUACUGGAUCAGACCCCUGCCCUUAUGAUCUCAUUUAACCUUAUACUAUGUUUUUAUUAAUUUUUAAUUUUUUUUCUUUUUUCCCCAUUUUUUACUUCCUUUUUCUUCUUUUUUUCCUCCCUUGUCAUCU
rnacentral:lncRNA from 12 species